rnacentral:rRNA from 1 species
AGCGGAGGAAAAGAAACUAACAAGGAUUCCCCUAGUAACGGCGAGUGAAGCGGGAAGAGCUCAAAUUUGUAAUCUGGCACUUUCAGUGUCCGAGUUGUAAUCUCGAGAAGUGUUUUCCGCGCCGGACCGCAUACAAGUCUGUUGGAAUACAGCGUCAUAGUGGUGAGAACCCCGUAACUGAUGCGGAUGCCCGGUGCUUUGUGAUACACUUUCGAAGAGUCGAGUUGUUUGGGAAUGCAGCUCAAAUUGGGUGGUAAAUUCCAUCUAAAGCUAAAUAUUGGCGAGAGACCGAUAGCGAACAAGUACCGUGAGGGAAAGAUGAAAAGCACUUUGGAAAGAGAGUUAACAGUACGUGAAAUUGUUGGAAGGGAAACGAUUGAAGUCAGACUUGUUAUCUGGAGUUCAGCCUUUCGGUGUACUCUCCAGUUUACAGGCCAGCAUCAGUUUUCGGGGCGGGAAAAUGGUAAUUAGAAGGUAGCAGCCUAGCUGUGUUAUAGCUUUUUACUGGAUUCCGCUUGGGGACUGAGGAACGCAGUGUGCUUUUAGCAAUACCUCGGGUAUUUCACUUAGGAUGCUGGUGGAAUGGCUUUAAACGACCCCGUCUUGAAACACGG